AUUUCCUCCCCAGAGCUGUUUGACUCCUUCUCCACCUGGGGGGCUUUAAAACCUUCCUGCCCCUACUCCAGUUCCACGCUUCACCCAAGUAGGCAGCAUGCUGCUGCUGCUGCCCAUCCUUCUUGCAGCUUCUUGUUGGUCCCGUGGAGACGCACAGGUGGUGCCGGUGCAAAGCCCGGCGAUGCGGAGGCAGGUGAAGGGCAGCUCAGCCAGAAUGGAGUGCCGGCUGAGCAGUAAUACCAUCGUGCACUGGUACAAGCAGCUUCCUGGAGAGCCACCCAAGAGGAUACUGUACGUGUCGGGACAGAGUCCAACGUUUGAUGAUGGCUCUGAUGGCCGAAAGUAUCAAGUGUGGAAACAUGCCUCUCAACCUCUCUAUAGUCUCACAAUUGAUUUCUUAAACCAGAGGGACACUGGCACUUACUACUGUGCACGUUGGUAUUAUUAUCAAGGCAUCACAGCGUUAGAUGGGCCAAGAUAAACCAUACAAAAAGGCACUUGGCACUCCGAACCGCAAGCUAUGAGCUCUGCCCAAACACAGAUACUUCCUCAUUCAGCUCUGCUCUGAUGAUUUUCUGCCAUAGGAUAGGAAAAACAACAACGUAACAUGACAACUGCUAAAUAGAGGAUGUUAAUAAUCAGGAUAUUAUUUCCAAACUCACACAUCUCUGUAACAAGCAGAAGCUUCAGGGCCCUAUCAAAUGAACCACAGAAUCAUAGAAUAUCUCGAGCUGAAAGGGACCCAUAAAGAUCAUUGAGUCCAACUCCUGGCACCACACAAGUCUACCCAGAUUUUUAGACCAUGUGACUAAGUGCACAGACAAAUUGCUUCUUAAACUCCAACA